rnacentral:sRNA from 1 species
GCAAGUGAAAUACCACUA